rnacentral:tRNA from 1 species
GCCCCUUUAGCUCAGCUGGUUAGAGCAGCGGACUCUUAAUCCGCGUGUCCAGGGUUCGAAUCCCUGAGGGGGCACAA